rnacentral:rRNA from 1 species
CCUACGGGAGGCAGCAGUGAGGAAUAUUGGUCAAUGGGCGCGAGCCUGAACCAGCCAAGUAGCGUGAAGGAUGACUGCCCUACGGGUUGUAAACUUCGUUUAUAAAGGAAUAAAGUGAGGCACGUGUGCCUUUUUGUAUGUACUUUAUGAAUAAGGAUCGGCUAACUCCGUGCCAGCAGCCGCGGUAAUACGGAGGAUCCGAGCGUGAUCCGGAUUUAUUGGGUUUAAAGGGAGCGUAGAUGGGUUGUUAAGUCAGUUGUGAAAGUUUGCGGCUCAAGCGUAAAAUUGCAAUGGAUACUGGCAGCCUUGAGUACAGUUGAGGUAGGCGGAAUUCGUGGUGGAGCGGUGAAAUGCUUAGAUAUCACGAAGAACUCCGAUUGCGAAGGCAGCUUACUAAACUGCCACUGACAUUGAUGCUCGAAAGUGUGGGUAUCAAACAGGAUUAGAGACCCGAGUAGUC